UACGGGGGGGGCAAGCGUUGUUCGGAAUUACUGGGCGUAAAGGGCUCGUAGGCGGCCAACUAAGUCAAACGUGAAAUCCCUCGGCUUAACCGGGGAACUGCGCUUGAUACUGGAUGGCUUGAGAUUGGGAGAGGGAUGCGGAAUUCCAGGUGUAGCGGUGAAAUGCGUAGAUAUUGGGAGGAACACCGGUGGCGAAGGCGGCUACCUGGACCGGUACUGACGCUGAGGCGCGAAAGCUAGGGUAGCAAACAGG
rnacentral:rRNA from 1 species